GACGAACGCUGGCGGCGUGCUUAACACAUGCGAGUCGAACGGAAAGGCCCCUUUGGGGGUACUCGAGUGGCGAACGGGUGAGUAACACGUGAGUAACCUGCCCUUGACUUCGGGAUAACUUCAGGAAACUGGGGCUAAUACCGGAUAGGAAUCCUUGCUGCAUGGUGGGGGUUGGAAAGCUUCGGCGGUUUUGGAUGGACUCGGCUUAUCAGCUUGUUGGUGGGGUAGUGGCUUACCAAGGCUUUGACGGGUAGCCGGCCUGAGAGGGCGACCGGCCACAUUGGGACUGAGAUACGGCCCAGACUCCUACGGGAGGCAGCAGUGGGGAAUAUUGCACAAUGGGCGGAAGCCUGAUGCAGCAACGCCGCGUGCGGGAUGACGGCCUUCGGGUUGUAAACCGCUUUCAGCAGGGGCGAAGCUUGUGGUGACGGUACCUGCAGAAGAAGCACCGGCUAACUACGUG
rnacentral:rRNA from 1 species